rnacentral:rRNA from 1 species
AUGUUUAAUGAUGUGUCUACAAACAAAAAAACAGAUAUUUCAUGUCUUUGCUUUGGCCUGCUGAAUACCUUCCUUGCAAUACCUUUGCUAUGCACCUAUAUGAAUUUACUUUACCCUUACAAUGACCAAGACAGCAGAUAUUAUCAUAUUAAACAAGCCAAUACAGAGACAAUCCUUUGCUUUUCUUGCUUAGUUUUACCUAAUUAUCAGCAGAUCAAUAGGCUAUAUAGAACCUCCAACCUGUUCACUCUGAAUCCUACUGAAGACCAUCCUAUGGAGAAACAGGAGUACUGGCCCUUCGAACUACCUACAAGACCCCGAGGUGCAACCGGCCAUGGCAAGGCAGGAGAUGUCGAGAGGAAUUUCCCUCCUGGAUAUUGCAGACCAUCUCUCUCUCUCUCUCUCUCUCUCUCUCUCUUACACACAGACAAUCACGGUUGUUCCUGUAUUAUCCUUGUAUAUGCAAACUACUUUUUGUUUCUUAUACACAACGACCUAUGUUCUAUGUUGGGUACAUAUUUUUGCACUUCUUUUGAAAUUAUUAUGGUGCAUAUGUGA